UCCUAGGUAUUCCCAUCCCUGCCUUCCUGUGUGGGGUGGGGCUCCUUCUUCUGUCACUGUGCUACCUAAAGAGGAGUCCAUGUUUCCCAAAAUUUCGGAAAGAGAGAGACAUCAAUCAGUGUCAGGGCAGAGCCAAGAGGAGAAGAAAAGGUGGAACACCAAGUGGUUGGAGAGCUUGCCAGAGCGAAGCAGAGGAGGCAAGGAAGGUGCUUUCUCUGCUGCAAAGGUGACUAAACAC